UACGUAGGGUCCGAGCGUUGUCCGGAAUUACUGGGCGUAAAGAGCUCGUAGGCGGUUUGUCGCGUCUGCCGUGAAAGUCCGGGGCUCAACUCCGGAUCUGCGGUGGGUACGGGCAGACUAGAGUGAUGUAGGGGAGACUGGAAUUCCUGGUGUAGCGGUGAAAUGCGCAGAUAUCAGGAGGAACACCGAUGGCGAAGGCAGGUCUCUGGGCAUUAACUGACGCUGAGGAGCGAAAGCAUGGGGGAGCGAACAGG
rnacentral:rRNA from 1 species